GAAGUAAAAAGUCGUAACAAGGUUUCCGUAGGUGAACCUGCGGAAGGAUCAUUACAGAAUGAAAAGUGCUUAACUGCAUUUUUUCUUACACAUGUGUUUUUCUUUUUUUGAAAACUUUGCUUUGGUAGGCCUUCUAUAUGGGGCCUGCCAGAGAUUAAACUCAACCAAAUUUUAUUUAAUGUCAACCGAUUAUUUAAUAGUCAAAACUUUCAACAACGGAUCUCUUGGUUCUCGCAUCGAUGAAGAACGCAGCGAAAUGCGAUAAGUAAUAUGAAUUGCAGAUAUUCGUGAAUCAUCGAAUCUUUGAACGCACAUUGCGCCCUUUGGUAUUCCAAAGGGCAUGCCUGUUUGAGCGUCAUUUCUCCCUCAAACCCUCGGGUUUGGUGUUGAGCGAUACGCUGGGUUUGCUUGAAAGAAAGGCGGAGUAUAAACUAAUGGAUAGGUUUUUUCCACUCAUUGGUACAAACUCCAAAACUUCUUCCAAAUUCGACCUCAAAUCAGGUAGGACUACCCGCUGAACUUAAGCAUAUCAAUAAGCGGAGGAA
rnacentral:rRNA from 1 species